UACGUAGGGUGCAAGCGUUGUCCGGAAUUAUUGGGCGUAAAGAGCUCGUAGGCGGCUUGUCGCAUCGGCUGUGAAAACCUGGGGCUCAACCCCGGGCCUGCAGCCGAUACGGGCAGGCUAGAGUUCGGUAGGGGAGACUGGAAUUCCUGGUGUAGCGGUGAAAUGCGCAGAUAUCAGGAGGAACACCGGUGGCGAAGGCGGGUCUCUGGGCCGAUACUGACGCUGAGGAGCGAAAGCGUGGGGAGCGAACAGG
rnacentral:rRNA from 1 species